AAGGCCUCCCAAGUCUACAUGUGUCUCCCAUCCUACCAUGGCAAUUCCUUCACUGGUCCUCUUAACUGCUCAUGUCCUGUAGUUGCUGGAAGUAUCCUAAGACUCACGUAUAGUGGCCAUUUACUUGCUGUUAGAUGUGACCAGGAUCUGGGAAUCCAUAUAUGUAGUAGUUCUAUUGUAGUAAAUAAAACUUAGGUUAGUUUUUGUGUAUUAAAAGGGUCUUCAAAAAGUUUAUGACCUCAGAUUUAGAAGACAGUGCUAACAUGUCCAACAUGAUCAGCUCUUAGUUCCUUAUUGAUACUUCAGAACUUUCUUUUGAUUGAGUAUCUAAUCUUCUGACUCUUGGGCUGUUCACUGUAGAUAGCAGGCAAUCAGCUAAUGUUUAUUAGGUAGUGAAUAAAUGGAGCAAUUAGCCUUAAGAUCAGCAAAUUGUAAAUACUUGCAUUUUAGCCUUUAUGAAUUUACCUUAGUGAAAUUCUGAAUCAUCAUAGAAAUGUAAAAAUGACUGUAUGAGUGUCUCCUCUUAGGUUUAGGAAAACAACCCUGCAAAUCGUGUAUUCUGGUUCUCUUUGCAGCUUGCAGAAGAUACCAAUCUUUUCAAGAGGUUGAUGCUAAAGUGGAAUUGGAGUCUGUCCCUCUAAGGUCCUCCUGCAGUUUAUAAAACUAAACUCAGUGGGUCAUUCUGUUGCUCACCUAGAUUUUAAUAGGAUAGACAAAAUGACAUUAGGGUUUUUUGUUUUGUUUUCAUGAGAUCAGCUAUAAGAUGGUAAGUAUGUACCAUUUUCCUUGCUUGGUCUGCUUUUUGUUUUUCCCAAAAUAAUUGGGAAUGAUAGAACUACUAAAGCACAUUCUCCUUAGAAGAUUCAGCCUAUAAACCAAUGUUUUAUUGUUAGCAGUGUCCGGCAGUAGAUGUGGAAGGUCAGGAAGUGUGAAGAGUGAAGAAUGGAGCUGGGCAUGAUGGAAGAAGAAACAGGAAGGAUAAAAGAUUGCUGGGAAAAUCAGGAAGCGCCUGCACUCUCCACAUGUAGCAAUGCCAGUAUCUUUCGAAGGAUAAAUGCCAUGUUGGACAAUUCUUUGGAUUUCAGUAGAGUCUGCACUACACCAGUAAAUCGAGGAAUGCAUGAUCAUUUACCAGCAGACUUCCAGGACUCUGAAGAAACAGUUACAAGCAAGAUGCUUUUCCCCACCUCUGCGCAAGAAUCUUCCCGUGGCCUCCCAGAUGCAAAUGACUUGUGCCUUGGCCUGCAGUCCCUCAGUCUAACAGGCUGGGACCGACCCUGGAGCACCCAGGACUCAGACUCCUCAGCCCAGAGCAGCACACAUUCGGUACUGAGCAUGCUCCAUAACCCACUGGGAAAUGUUCUAGGAAAACCCCCCUUGAGCUUUCUGCCUCUGGAUCCCCUUGGGUCUGACUUGGACAAGUUUCCAGCACCCUCAGUCAGAGGAUCCCGCUUGGACACCCGGCCCAUCCUGGAUUCCCGUUCUAGCAGCCCCUCUGACUCAGACACAAGCGGCUUCAGUUCUGGAUCAGAUCAUCUCUCAGAUUUGAUUUCAAGCCUCCGCAUUUCUCCUCCUCUGCCCUUCCUGUCUCUGACAGGGAGUGGUCCCAGAGACCCCUUAAAGAUGGGGGUUGGGUCCCGCAUGGACCAAGAGCAAGCUGCUCUCACCGCAGUCACACCUUCCCCAACCAGUGCUUCAAAGAGAUGGCCAGGAGCUUCCAUAUGGCCAUCCUGGGACCUCCUUGAAGCUCCCAAGGAUCCCUUCAGCAUAGAGAGAGAGGCCAGGCUGCACCGGCAAGCUGCAGCUGUGAACGAAGCCACCUGUACCUGGAGUGGCCAGCUUCCUCCCCGGAACUAUAAGAAUCCCAUCUACUCUUGCAAGGUGUUCUUAGGAGGUGUUCCUUGGGAUAUUACGGAAGGUGAGCUGCCUCCAGGACCUCCUGGCUCAGAGCUGAAGGUGGAGCCUGUCUUUCAGGAGCAUGAACCUUGGUCUCAAGGCCAGAGACUGAACCGUUGUCUCAGUACAGGGUGCUGCAGGAGCAGCUGAGGGCACUUCUAGAUUCCCAUAGUACUUCUGUGUCUGGUGCUUACACUUGUCACCUGAGACCAGAGGUCAGCAUGGAGUUACUUGUCAAAAGAGGUGAACCAGGGGUGGAACAGGUGAUCCUGUGCUUGUGCCUUUCCUGGGGAGGACUGGGCCUCAGCUUCUGCUAUUCUUAUCUCUUUGCAGCUGGAUUAGUUAACACCUUCCGUGUUUUUGGUUCUCUGAGUGUGGAGUGGCCUGGUAAGGAUGGCAAGCACCCCCGGUGUCCUCCCAAAGGUAAUAUGCCUAAAGGUAAUAAAGACAUGGUAGGAGCUUUUUUUUCCCCUCCUUAGUAUAUAAUUGCACCAAAGGGUGCUGGGAUGUCACAGCUGCAUGCUGGUACCAUGGUGGGCACUCCAGACACAGACCUUUCUGUUGUCAGCACUUCCUCUUUGGCCUCUCACAUCCCUUUAUUUCCCCUGAGCUACUCUUCUGUCUGUCCAAGCUCUCAAUCCAGGGAGCUGCCUCUGAACCCCUUUCCUGUGCAUUUCCCUUUCAGACCUGAACCCAGCAGUGCCUUCCCACUUAGAAUUAGGUGCUGGAAAAGCUUUUCCCUUGCCUGCUUGCUGCUGCCCAGUUGCGUUGUUGCCUGACCUAAUUUUUAGAUCCCUUUGGAGGUGGCAGGAAUGAGGACCAAGCAUCUGAUUCCUCACUGAAAUGAGAUCCCUUCCCUGUAGAAAGGAGCAGGUUCUAUUUUCACUCAUCCCCCACCUUCAUUGAACUGAAUCAAUGAUUUAAUUAGGCUUUUAAAGCUAUACCUGUGUCCCCUGGUAAAUUGGCUACAGUCGUGCCAUCCUUCCUGGCUUUGCUGAUCUGAGCAUGCUCUGUGUUCUGGGAUAGAGAGCUGUGUGAUGGUGGGGUCCUCUGUCCACUUGCCAGGCCCUUCCCCUACCAGUGUGGGAGAUGGUAUGCAUCUCUCUCCCUUAACCUGGGCAUAUGACAUAGCAAGUGCUUUCAUUCAGCAAGACUGUUCAGGAGUAGAACAAAAAUGUGUCUGGUAUGCAAAGCCUCCUCUCUGAGAAGAAACUUCCUGAUGAAAACCCAAGCCUGAGGAGUAACCACCUGAGGAAUGCUAAUGCACUUUUCCCUCUCAUUGUGAAUAGGGUAUGUAUAUCUGGUCUUUGAACUCGAGAAGUCUGUCCGGGCCUUGCUUCAGGCUUGCUCUCACGACCCACUGAGCCCAGAUGGUUUGAGUGAAUAUUAUUUCAAGAUGUCCAGCCGAAGGAUGCGCUGCAAGGAGGUGAGUCAGAAUGAUGGCUCUCUGGGUCCAAGUGAUUUGCAUAUUGAGGCACUGGAUUUCCUGGUGGGAGUAGACAUGAAGGCUACAACCAAAAGGUAUUUUUGCUCUGAGGCAAGAAGUCUUCUCCUCUCGUCCCACAAUAAAUACGAGAGUACUUCUCUAUUGCAUAAAAAAUCCCAACCUUUGAGUCUUACUAGGAUGGUUACCAGGUGUGUGUGUAUACACACACACUUCUGUGCGUGAAAAUCAGACUGUCUCCCAGCCCUUCUUUUUCUAGCCUAUGGUUCUGUUUCAAAACUCUUAUCUUCAAGAUGAAAUUUAGAGCAGCAGUUUUCUCUACUUGGACUUAACUGAUAAAAUCAGCUCUUUCUCUCUAGUCCUGAUCUCAGACUGUCUCCCCUCCCCAAAUGAUGGGUAACUUCUCCUUUGCUCACACCCACUUAUGAGUUGCUUCUUCACUCCCAGUUAGGGCUUGAUUAGUUACAUACUUCUCUCUACGUGCCUCAGACUCCUGCCCCCCCGCUUUGUAUCAGCUUAGUUUGUCCUUGGCGUCAUGGAGUUACCUCAUUUACUUGACUCUGGCUUACUGAAUCUGGGUAGAGUUUGGGAAUCUCCACUUUAACUGGGCUCCCCAGGUAGUUCUAGUGGAGAGAGUUUGAGAACCAUUUGUUUUGAAUUCAGCAUGGUGUUUUUUAAAAAUCUGAUUACAGAAUACAUCAUUUUGACACAUUGGACUAGAUAUGUAAUAUCUCUGAAAUCUUCCUAGUAUCUCUGGAACAUUCACUUCCUAGCUUAUAAAAUGAGAAACUAAAAUUCCUUGUUUAUUAAAAUUAUCAGUGGCUUCCAGAAGUUCAGCAGGGCAUAAAUAGACAUAGCACAAAGGAUUUUUAGGGCAGCAAAACUCCACUGUGUGAUACUGUAUUGGUAGAUGAAUCUCCUGCACAUUUGUCCAAACCCAAGAAUGUACAGCCAGCAUCAAGAAUGAAUCCUGAUGUAAAGUGUAGACUCUGUGGGGACAUAUCAGUGAAGGUUCAUCAAUUUCACAUCAGAUUUAAAUAAACCAUCAAUAAGUCUUUUAUAAGGUAUUUGUCUUAGAGAUGUUUCAUGAUACUGUUCACAUUCUAAGUGCAAGGGGCAAGUUCAUCCUCUGGCUGCCACUGUGACCUACAGCUCUCCUGCUUUCUCUCAUUUCUUGUAUGAGCUCAUUGUAUUCCAGGACUUAGUUCACAUGCCUUUCUGGCCCCCUGCUUUCACACCUGGUCCCCUGCUUUCACUGCCAUAUCCAUACCACACUUCUCAGCCUCUCUCUUGACACCUUCCCAUCUCCCUUCCUGUCUCAUCACCUUGCGUCUUUCUUUGAUGGCUGGCUAUAGGCUGUCCCAGUUCUCUACCUCUCUGACUCCUUUUCCUUUGUGUCACCUCAUGUACCCCACUGUAAUUAUAGUUACUAUUUGACUCUCUCUUGUCUCGUUUCCAUCUCAGAAACUUACUCUGGGGCUGGGGAUGUAGCUCAGCAGUGCAAUGCCUGCCUGGCAAGCACAAGGUCCUGAGUUCAAUCCCCGGUACCAGAAAAAAAAAAAAAAAAAAAGGAAGAAACUCUGUGGCUCUACGCUUAAUCUUUAGACCCAUAUUUGCCUCUCUAGCCUCCCACCCUACCUGAUAGCCUCCUUCCUAUCCUCCUUUUGGAUGCUGUGUAACCCCAAACUCUUCUGUGUGCAAAAGCUUUUCAUCUUCCAGUGAAAUUGGCUCCCCUAGUAACUUCUGCCAGGUCGUCUUGUCCCCAGGUUUUAUAGGUCUACAUUACAUUAGUCCUGAUUCUAUCUUGUUUACUCACCAUGCCCAGGCCCCAGGCAGUCUGAGUUCUGCAGACUGCUCUUGCAGAAUCUCCUUGUUCUUAACUUGUGUUCUUAUUUCCAGCAGCCUUGUCCAGGUCUUAAUCACCUGUCCUCUGAAUUACCAUUUUUGGCUCCUUGCUACUUUUUGUCUCAGAUCUCUGCCUACUUCAAAACAUUUUUAAAAGAUGUCCACAGGUGAAUCUUCCAGAAACACCUACUGCUCAUUUUUUUGUGGCCUCCUCCACCUGCUCUCCCAGGUUUUGUUCUGAAUUAAGGAGAUUCAAAAGCAAAAGAUGUAUCAGCUCCUACGUUAGUGUUACUCAGCUCUGCAAGACUUCUGGGAUGUCUGUGUGUGACUUCCCACUCUCCUUCUUUCUCAGUGCUCCUGGCACAAAACCUCUGAUGCAUAGGUUGGGCCAGUAAUUAUGUCACAAAUAUCGUAAGCAUUCCUACCCCUUCGUUCUUCAGGCCCCAAGCUUUUAAUUUCUCUAUGAAUUCUUUUUUCUUUGUCGAGAAUUCAUGUGCUCUCUUCAUUAGUGUCAGUAGCGCUUGGUUGGAAACACACAGUUGGCAAUUAUAACAGCGUACUGGGUUCCUAGACAUAAUAGAUUGAUACUUUUUUGCUUUCUAGGAUGAGUGUUGUUCCACUUACUCUGACCAUUUUAGACAGACGAACUUAGUAAAUUUCAACUCCUUGGGUUGGGUAGAGUGCCUUACUCUGGAUGCUUGGGUGCCUGAGAUAGGCGAUGGUGGCUUCUCACCCCUGCGUAGGACUCAGAAGCCCCCAUGUAGUGUCUCCAGAACACAGGAGCCCCUCUGCCUUCCCCCAUUUCCAGGACUGAUCCACCUCUGGGGGAUUUUCAGGUGCAGGUGAUCCCCUGGGUCUUGGCUGACAGCAACUUUGUCCGGAGUCCAUCUCAAAGGCUGGAUCCCAGUAGGACAGUGUUUGUUGGUGCCCUGCAUGGGAUGCUUAAUGCCGAGGCCCUGGCUGCCAUCUUGAACGACCUAUUUGGUGGAGUGGUGUAUGCUGGGAUUGACACAGAUAAGCACAAGUAUCCCAUUG
rnacentral:lncRNA from 1 species